CCCACAAAACCCGAUAACUCUUUCAAAACCAAAAAAUAAAGCUCACCCUUUCCUUCCCUAAACCAGCAGCGUCUCUUCUUUGCUCACAGCCUCACACACUAAAACAUCUCCUUCCCUAAACCUAAAACUCACCCUUUCCUUCCUCCAAAAUCAAAACCCAAAACUCAGAUUCUUCCCUCGUCGCCGUCGCUGCUACAGAUGGCCACCACUACGAAUCGCCGCUACAGAUGGCCACCACUCAGAUUCUCACACAACCACCGUCACUUCUCUGGAAACAUUACCAGUAAGUUUUUAAUUUUGUUCUAUUGUUUUUGGCUAUUAAGUAUGAUUUAGGGUUACGUUUGGCUGUAUUUUGAUUGAAAUCAAAGAAGCCCCAACACCCCGAGGCAGAACAAUCCCACUUGAGAGUGUGGCUGAAGAGAAUAGAAUCCCAACCCUUCACCCUCAAAGUGUUUGACGAAAUUCCUGAGCCAAACUGAAAAAGGGACCUGACUUUAGAAAGUUUAUGUCAAAUAAUUGAAAAUUGCUUCCUAUGUAUUGAAUGGGGAAAAAAAGAGUCACAGGGCUGAUUCAGUUUAGGAAUAGAGUCAGAUAGUACUUCAAUAGAAAAAAUAGAAUGAAGAUAAUCGGAUGGGCAAAUCUGUGAAAGUCUAAAUAGAAUGAGCUUUGUUGACAAUUGGUUUUGGUGUCAUUAAAAUGUGGAUGUGUUUUGAAGUGAUGACGUGGGUGUUUUUUUUAUCAAUUUAUGAGUGUGAGAAAGUUUAAAUUACUAUCUGGGUUUUCAUUUUUGGGAAAGCCUACUCUCUGUGUGUUUAUUUCUGAAUUUUUUUUCCAAAUGCUUGAUUGAGGCCAAAAUAGGACUUGUCCAAAUGCUCAAUUCUGUACCUGAAUCUGUACAGGUUGAAAGAAAAAAAAAAAAUCAAGUUCCUUUAUAACAUAUAUGUAUGUACACAUGCAUAAUCUGUCCGAUUGACCCAAGUUUUUCCAAACUUUUCUGUUUUGCUAUGUAUAAGUGUUAUGGUAUUCUUAUUCUUAUUCAAAAUUUAUGUUCAUUAAGGAUUCAUAGCUGAACUCAAAAUUUUGGGAGUAAGGCUUGCUUUUUGUUGUAGUUUUAUUGUUCAUUGCCUUCAAAUGUUAUAGUUACUGCCAAAUUUGCAUCAGGAACUUUUUUUGAUGGAGAAACUUGGUUGUUCCUCCGCGGUAGUGGUAAUUAUGCUUUCAAUGUCUUACUUUUACUGUUUGUGGAGAAUAAUAUUCUAAAUUAAAGUCGCUCAUUCUUCUUAGGUAUGUUUGUUUCUUAAUUUUUUUGUUUGAGAUAUAUGCAAUGUUUACUACAUAUCAGCUUUAUAAAUGUACUGUUCAAUUUCUAGAUAUCAUAAUGAAGUGAACCCCAUGUUCAGUUUUAUAGGAACAUUAAUGUGAAUUGUUUUGUUUCACUAUGGUGACUUUAAAUCAAAAUCAUAUAUACUUUUCCAGGAUAAGAUUCAAUCUUUCAUUUGGGAUUACUAGAGAAUUUUUCUCCCUUAUAGUGUAUAUAUAUGGACAUACAUUAUUGAUCUGUUGGCUUGGAUCUUCAACUAUGCAACAUUUGGCUUCUUUCUAUAUGUAGAUAGUACAUAGAACUCUAGGGGAACUUGGUUAGUUAAAGACAGUUUGGGUAAGCUUCUACAAUGUUUUGUGCUUUUAGAGAUGUUGAUCAAGUAUGUUGUGAUGGGGUUGUAAUGUUUGGGUGCAUGCCGAGUGUGAGAAUAUUUCCAGCAAGCUUUUCAAGGUGUGCUUAAUACACUUGAUUUAUGAAUUGUGAUGUCAAUUUCUAUUCCUGUCAUAUGUGUUUAUUCACUAACUUGUGUAUGGUUUAAAGGAUCUAGAGAAUGUAGAUUACUAUUGCGCAGAUUGUAAAGCAAAGUCUAAUUAUGAGUCAUUGCUUCAGAAAAAUACCAGCCAAAUGUGAAGUAUGUCUAUCCUAUUUUUGUGUGUGGGUACAAUUCUUUUCCCUCCAGUUGAUUUUUGGGGCAAUUGUAUAUUUGACUUUAUAGACUAAGGAGUUUAUCAUCAGGUUUUAAGCCUAAUUUUGUGACAAUUUUUUAAGUAGGUCUUUAGAAAAUAGUGGACAAAAUGUUCUACCUGAGAUCAUUAAGGAUUCAUUAAGAUGCUUCUUUAUUAUUUUAUAUUCCCCCCAUCUUAGAGUUAUGUGCAAGUGCAGUUCAUGUGGGUCAAAGAAGUAUAAACCUAGAAGGUCAAAUUCUACUUGAAUUGUUAUUUGGAAUUUUCAUUUUCUGGGUUUUGUUACUUUUUUAUAUUUCAAUUAGGUGGCACUCUCCAUAUCUAUGUGAGUUAUCAGAAGGACAAGAUCAAGGACUCAUGUUGAAGGUCGAGCAAGUUUGGAUUGUAGCUGUUGACUCAGGGUAGAGUAUCAGAACAAAGCAAUGAAAGAAUUGUAGCCGUGACUAUAUAAACGAUAGUGUUUAUAUUUAAAACAGCUAUACUACUUGUACUUUAGGAUUAGUUUAAUUCAUAGUUAUUAUUUAUAUACACAUUUAUUAAUCUGAUUGGUUGUAGAGGCUAGAUUCGUAUAUUGUGGAGUUAGUAAGAAGUUAGUUACUCUCAGACUUUGUAUAAAUACUUGAUGUACAUUCAUUUUCUUUCAAUGCAAUAUAGAAUUCUCUUAUCAAAUUCUCAUAAUA